AGCGGGGUGGAGCAGCCUGGUAGCUCGUCGGGCUCAUAACCCGGAGGNNAGUGGUUCGAAUCCACUCCCCGCCACCA
rnacentral:tRNA from 1 species